GUGACAUUCUCCGCGCCCAGGCCAUUUUUCAUAACGCCGCGGAUCGGCUUUUGUGCCUCUGAGGCGACUAAACAGAUGAAUAACGAGCAAAGUCUCCCGAAACUAGUUUGAAAGUUGGUUUCUGGCAAGAGGAAAGAAAAGGCUGCAACAUUAAAAGAAGAAUCAAAGUGUUAAAAGGACGCCCAAAAUGUAGUAUUGUGGCAGGUCGGGUUUCUAGCCAUGAAGUCCCUACGGAGAUGAAGAGUGGGAAGCAGUACAGUAACUGGUUGAAACCGUUCCACAAGGGAAAUUUCACUAGAUUUCAGAGAUACUGAUAGAUUACAAAUACUCUGGAAAUCUACCACUCAAGCUUGUGGACGCUUGAGUAAACUUUGGAUGACUAAUAGGUAACUAACUCCUGGUG
ensembl:lncRNA